rnacentral:lncRNA from 1 species
AAAGCCCUUCCGGGGCCUGGCUUCCGUCCCUUUGCACUGCAGCUGGAUCGGAUUGAAGUGGCGGAUUCCUUCGUGCUGGCCCUGGAGCAGGCCCAGGUACCCCAGGAAUGCUCCCCUGAGGGGCUUGUGCAGUCAGAAGGAGGCGCCAGAGAGUGAGACUAACUGUGAGAGCCCCGGCAGGUGGACUGAUAAGGGCCGGUGUCUAUGGUGUGUCCAGCACGUUCUGGUUCCAACUCAGGAUCUGGGUAGAAUAUGCUCACGUCAUGUCCCGUGCUUUGGAAGUGUCGGGAUGCAAGUGAGGUUGGGAGGGGCUGUGUUUUGUUCUUUUGUUUUUGUUUUUGCGUUUCUUUUCUGAGCAUCAAGGUCAUGGGACAGCAUGUG